rnacentral:rRNA from 1 species
AGUAACACGUGGAUAACCUACCUAUAAGACUGGGAUAACUUCUGGAAACCGGAGCUAAUACCGGAUGAUAUUUUGAACCGCAUGGUUCAAAAGUGAAAGACGGUCUUGCUGUCACUUAUAGAUGGAUCCGCGCUGCAUUAGCUAGUUGGUAAGGUAACGGCUUACCAAGGCAACGAUGCAUAGCCGACCUGAGAGGGUGAUCGGCCACACUGGAACUGAGACACGGUCCAG